rnacentral:pre_miRNA from 1 species
CAAGUACUCCCUCCGUCCAGAAUUACUUUUCAUCAAAAUGGAUGUGUCUAGAACUAAAAUACAUCUAGAUACAUCCAUUUCAAUGACAAGUAUUUUCAGACGGAGGGAGUACAAG